rnacentral:rRNA from 1 species
UACGAAGGGGGCUAGCGUUGCUCGGAAUCACUGGGCGUAAAGCGCACGUAGGCGGAUUGCUAAGUCAGGGGUGAAAUCCUGGAGCUCAACUCCAGAACUGCCUUUGAUACUGGCGAUCUCGAGUCCGGGAGAGGUGAGUGGAACUGCGAGUGUAGAGGUGAAAUUCGUAGAUAUUCGCAAGAACACCAGUGGCGAAGGCGGCUCACUGGCCCGGUACUGACGCUGAGGUGCGAAAGCGUGGGGAUCAAACAGG